UCACAAACCCAAUACUAGAAGGAUGUAACCCUUUCGAUUCCUCAAACACUUUAGAAAGCUGUUGGAGAAUGGCUUGGAUUUCUAGACAUGGAAUAGACUCAAUAGAAUAAUAAGGCAUUUUCCAAAUUAUUCAUCAGUUGUAUUACUGUCCCCUUAGAUUUGACCAUGUUAGCUCUACCAAACUUAGUACCCUUAGUUUUAUCAGAGGGGGGAAUACCUUGCAAGCAAUGUUGUUGGUCUCCUAACUUGAACUCCAUUAAACUUGUCAAAAUCCAAAAAGAUUGACCCCACAGUGCCCAUUCAUUGAACUCCCAGAACUACAUAGAUAUCUACUAUGUAGGUUUUGCCCUGCACCUUCAAGGGCAGAUCAGAGCACCUCCCAGAACUAUAAACAGUAUCUCCAUUGGCUACCUUAACUAACAACUCUUUAGAAGUUUCUAUCUGCACAUGGGCCUUCUUUGGAAUGGCAGGAUCCACAAAGUUGUGGGUGCUGCUGGUAUCAAUUAGCACCAUCACUUUAUGCCCCCAAAAUCUGGCCUUACACCCGUAUAGUCUCAAGAUUUGGAGAUCCCAAGAAAGCAUGAAUUGAAUUUCUGGUUCCACCAAUUGUUCCUCCAAGUGGACUUCUGAACUUUCACUAGUACAGCCCAUCAAUGUGAGCCUUUCCACCAUCUCUUGAGAAGAGUUGGUUAGUAAUAGAAGCCUAUUUAAGCAAUACGCUAGGUCUCCUCAGGUCAUCUCCAGCGCUAUACCAAAAU
rnacentral:lncRNA from 1 species